GGGUGAGUAACGCGUGGGAACGUGCCCUCUGGUUCGGAACACCCUGGGAAACUAGGGCUAAUACCGGAUACGCCCUUUUGGGGAAAGAUUUAUCGCCGAAGGAUUGGCCCGCGUCCGAUUAGCUAGUUGGUGAGGUAACGGCUCACCAAGGCGACGAUCGGUAGCUGGUCUGAGAGGAUGACCAGCCACAUUGGGACUGAGACACGGCCCAAACUCCUACGGGAGGCAGCAGUGGGGAAUAUUGGACAAUGGGCGCAAGCCUGAUCCAGCCAUGCCGCGUGAGUGAUGAAGGCCUUAGGGUUGUAAAGCUCUUUUGCACGCGACGAUAAUGACGGUAGCGUGAGAAGAAGCCCCGGCUAACUUCGUGCCAGCAGCCGCGGUAAU
rnacentral:rRNA from 1 species